GUGCCUCCCUCGCGAACACCCUUGGGUUCCCUUUAACGUCGGGGCGGCCUGGCGUUCUUUUCUCCCGGCGAAGUAAAACUCGCUCGGGCUAACAAAAGUCGGCUAAACCAACGCAACAAAAAAACCGGCGUGAAAUGCGCCAAGGAACAUGAAAGAGAGUGCGCUCUUCUGGUGUCAGCACUGCUGCGUCAGGACUGGCGUCGUCUUCUUGAUGAGUUUAUAAUGACUCUCGGCAACGGAUAUCUCGGCUCUUACAUCGAUGAAGAACGUAGCAAAAUGCGAUACUUGGUGUGAAUUGCAGAAUCCCGUGAACCAUCGAGUCUUUGAACGCAAGUUGCGCCCGAAUCCUUUUGGUCAAGGGCACGUCUGCCUGGGUGUCACGU
rnacentral:rRNA from 1 species